AAUGUGGGAAGCUUCACAGUUUCUUCAACAAAUAAAUGGCACAGAAAUACGCGUGUGUCUGCUGGAAAGGGUUAGGGGUGUUACAAAUGAUAACAAGUCUGAGACACUUGGCAACUUAAUGGAUGUAUCAACUUGGCUAUGUCAUGAUUUGAGCAACCCACAGGAAGACGUUUUGAGACAAAGGCAGCAAAUGUGCCCUGUUUGUUUACUAGAAGAAAACACUGUUGAUGGUGGCGGGGGAAGAACGGGACUGUAGACGUUAGUUCUGAUUACGACACGGUCACGGACACUGGGUUUACUCUCCCACUUUAACCGUUUAUUAAAAUCGGGCUACGUGCAGACAGUGGACAAUAACCAGCAAAAGACUGAUUCUUCACAGAAAGAAAGCAUGAGAGCUCCAAAAAACAGAAAGGUGAUUCCUGCACAUCAAAAACUCAUUCCCUAAAGUAUGCUAUGGGACAACAGGAACACUGCAUGCCUGACUUGGUUACAGUUCAUCGCGGCACAAUGAAAUGACUUCACGUACCACACCUUAGAGCCCACACGCAUCCCGGACGUGCACACACACGAUUCAAGUGCCAGAGAGAUCUACAGACGUUGUCUCCUUCGCUUAGUCUUUCAUCCCGCCGAUCAAUAACUGUUUACUGGGCAGACACUGUUCUAAGCGCGAGAGACUUAGCAAGGCUCAAAACUGUACGGUCCGGACUCUCACCUAAGUCAGCUGUUGUGAAGAGCCAAGGAGGGAGGGGAAGCAGGCGACGCAGCCGGCCGGGGCCCCGCCCCCAAGGGACCCGGGGGGAAGAGACCUGCAGGGAGUGGGAGAGCGAGCACGCAGCCAGCUGGGAGAAGAUGUCUCAGGGAGAAGGAAUGACUAUAUGAAGGACUUACAGGGGGAACGUACUGGAGAGUUUAAGGCCCAAAAAGUCCGAGUCAGUGUGAAAAGGGGGGAGGCCUGGGGGCAGCUGGGGACCAGACUGCAGAGCCCCACAUACCACAGAAGGGCUCUUUCUUCCAAACAGGCAGCAGAGGUGAAAGCAGCAGCUGAGGGUAAGAUCUCACCGUCAGUGUUCACGAAUGACACUCAGUGCAACAGUGGACUCGGGGCAGAGCCAGGGGCCCCUGGCUGAGGGCGGCCUCGGUCAUCCCGGCGACGGCCAGAACCUAGACCGGUGGGUAUUGGUGGAAAUGGUGACUGAAUUCAGCAUUCAUUCUGAGGGUGGCACCAAGAUUUCCUGAUAGUUUUGGCAUGAGGUGUGCGGAGGGAAACAUUCAGUAUGACUCUCUCGAAGCUUUUGAUGUGAGCACCGGGGUGAACGGAGCUGGCGCUACUGAGUUGGGGAAGGCGGCCGGGAAGAGAAAGUGGGGCAAGGGACAUCAUUCUGCACAGGCCAAGGCCGAGAGGUCCCUCGGACGUCCGGAUGUCAAGUAAACAUCCAGAUAUAUACACCUAGAGUUCAGAGGGCAGGUCAGGUGGAGAUCGAAAAUUCAAAAGCCAAAAGUUUAACGAGUCACACAAAAUCAACUAGGGAGUAGAUGGGCACAGGCAAGAACAGAGGUCGAGGACUGAGCCAAGGAGUAUUCCAAAAUUCAGACGUCAGGAGAGUGAGCAGGAUCUGGCCACAGAACCCCCACAAGAAAGGUGACAAACUAAGAGACUGUCGUUUAAAUUACUGAGUCUGGUGUCAGCAAGCGACGCACACACACACACACACACACACACACACACACAGGAAGAAAGAAAGAAAGAAAAACUUACUACGAACAGUGUCAGAGUGGAGGCAUGUUCAGAGGAAGAAGGAAAAAGGCAAUGAACUCGUCAGCGAAUCUGGGCAGGUCGGGAAAGCGGAGGGGCAGCUAAGGGGAAAGGAGACCGGCGGGCUUCUGCACCUCGUGUUCGCACACUUCCUGCCGGAACCCCCUGUCGGCCGGUCGCUCCGAGGCCACAGACACUUCACGGGCUUCCGGAGGGAGACCAGGCCGACAGCCCACGAGGAGCUCGGAAGCCAGUCCUCAGGAAGUUUCUAGGCCCCCGCCCCCACUGCCAAGGUACAUACUCGGGUGUCUGCUUCUCUGCCUUCGCAUGUACUAAAGACACUGACACCUGGGUCAGCCUGCUGCCCCACCCAGACUCUCCCAGUUCCUGGGGACAGAGCAACAGCCAGGAUGACCUAUCUGACAAUUCAGCCUCACGAACCUCCUUGAUCUCCAGUGACCUGUGACUCCAUCAAAGUUCAGCGCCUGCUCCUCUGGCCACAUCCUGAACUUGCCUUUGCUUGACGGUCUUCUACCUUUGAAAUUUAAAACGUCAAUAGUAUGCUCCCCUCUCUCUCAACAUAAUCUUCUAGGUCAGCCAUGUUGAACAGUAAUAAAAUGUGAGCCAUUGGAAUAGAACUUAAAUUUUUCUGGUAUUCACAUUCAAAAGCAAAAAGUCUCACUCAUUUUGCAAGUUUCACACUUUACUCAACCCAAUACACCAAUCCCAACCCAAACGACAGUGUCAACAUCAACAUUAGUGAUGAGACGCGACCUCAAAUUCCAGUGGGUACCUGAUGCGCACCGCAUUUCAGACACUAAACUGUCCAUAGUCUAAGGCGCAGUAUAAUUUUGCCAAACAAGAGUUGUGUUUAAUGAAAAGGUGUUUUACACUGUGUAUCCCUCGGCUUCUGAGCGGUCGUCUGGAGCCCCGGAGCAUCAUGGGACGGGGGCACCGCUUCGUGCCAGACAAUCCGACGACGUGAUUUAACACGGAAGUGGCCAGGCUCAUCCAGUCUGAGGGCAGAGGCUGGCCACACUAGGAAGACCAACAACGUGACUCAGGGUGUGAGUUCUGGGUCACGCAAAGCAGACGACCCGGAGCAGCGAUGAAGCAUGUGGGCAGCCAUGAACGCUGCCCACGAAACCGGACACAGGCGCUCAGGUCAGCUUCUUACCUGCAGUCCUCGGUGCAUUUCUGUCACACAUCAGUCCCAGGACACUACGCAUCCUGUCCUCGGGGAGAGGGGAAGAAAAGCUCUGUGUUUGCUCCUGCUUAGGGGCUCUCUGCUUCUUCCCACAGCUGGUUUUAACUUGAAUCUGUUCCCUGUAGUUUCUGCAACCGUGAGUAUAACAGCCUUCAGCGAGUUCUGUGACUCUUCAUAGCAAAUUAUCGAAGGUGAGGGUGGUGUUGGAAAGUUUCCAAACUUGCGGUUGGUGGCAGAAGUGAGGGCGGCCCCGGAGGCUGUGCUCUGACCUUGUGACCCGCUGGCUCUCUCAGCCGGCCGAAAACGCGUGGCACGCGGCCUCAGAUUUUAGUUUUACAUGUCACGUCAAUCACAUUCAAAACUGAGUUCCUCAGUGGUACUACCUACAGUUCAAACACCACAGCGACAUGUGGCCAGCGGUUACUGCAUCGAGCAAUGCGAUUUUAGACUCCGAUCCCUCUGAUCCUCUAUGCUCAACACACUUGCUUCUCGAUUUCAUCUAAGCCUCUAGCUUUUUCAGUUGCUACUACUUAGGACCGUCCAGCCUGAUCUCAUGUGCCUCAUGCCCCUUUCACCCCAAGCCCAGUGACCCAGACAUUAAUGACUCUACUGUCAGUGGCCUCAACUCUUCUGCCAAAUGUCUCUCCUCGUCUGCACAGGUUCUGUAAACCACCAAUACUGGGUCGAUCCGACUGUCUUUCUUACCGCACUGAGUACCACUGAGGAAACAAAGCAUCCAAUCCGUAUAAUGGGUCAAGUUCAUGGUUUCCUAUUGCAGGGCCGCUUGUCAGCGCUUUCAGCCUGUCACUCCCAGGAGCGGCUGACUCCGCCUCCUCCACAGGCAUCCGGGUUCCUCUCCCUUCGUCCUCGACCGCCAGGCAGAAAAUCAGACAGGAGGCGGGCAGCACACUUUACUUCACACUCUUCUACCUAAAACCCACCGAGGGCCACACACAUCCUUUACCUUCUUUCUUCCAGUGUCUCUGCACAGGGCCAACUCCGGGGACCUGUGCUCACAGCUCAGGCACCGCCUGUUCCUCAGGGACCUAGGGGUGCGCUACCCUCCCACACGGAUUACAGUCGAAGUCCUCCUGCUCACUAGUCUCCUGAACUUCACCCUGAGAUCAAGUCUUGUAUUUAAACAAAACUAACCCCCCCACCUUGCACUUCGUCCGGUGCUGAGAGGAUCUGAGAUCUGACCAGAACUUGACAAGUGAAUGCGCCGCGGACGCAGGAUGCCGGCAGAAGCCCCUCGAGGCCAGAGACAAAGGGCGUCAGUGGACGCGCACAGCAGGCGGCGGGAGCACCGACUCGCCUCCUUCGGGUCCCCCAGAGCGGUGUGCCAGGGACUGGGCGUGCCGGCACAGCUAGCCGGGUGCCUUCCAGAGAGGGACCCGAAACAUGACAAUCCUUCAACCAUGACAGCUGCCAGGAGAGCUCACUACGUACCAGCUGACAGUCGAAGAAUUUGUAUUUGUAAAAAAAAAAAAACUUCUUAGAAAUUGAGAUAUAAUCAGCA